GGUUCGAUAGCUCAGCUGGAUAGAGCAUCUGCCUUCUAAGCAGACGGUCGCAGGUUCGAAUCCUGCUCGAAUCA
rnacentral:tRNA from 1 species